rnacentral:rRNA from 1 species
UAAUUGAAGAGUUUGAUCAUGGCUCAGAUUGAACGCUGGCGGCAGGCUUAACACAUGCAAGUCGAACGGUAACAGGAGAAAAGCUUGCUUUUCUUGCUGACGAGUGGCGGACGGGUGAGUAAUGCUUGGGAAUCUGCCUUAUGGAGGGGGAUAACUACGGGAAACUGUAGCUAAUACCGCGUAAUGUCUUUGGACUAAAGUAUGGGAUCUUCGGACCAUAUGCCAUGAGAUGAGCCCAAGUGAGAUUAGGUAGUUGGUGAGGUAAAGGCUCACCAAGCUGACGAUCUCUAGCUGGUUUGAGAGGAUGACCAGCCACACUGGGACUGAGACACGGCCCAGACUCCUACGGGAGGCAGCAGUGGGGAAUAUUGCACAAUGGGGGAAACCCUGAUGCAGCCAUGCCGCGUGAAUGAAGAAGGCUUUCGGGUUGUAAAGUUCUUUCAGCGAUGAGGAAGGGUUUGU